rnacentral:lncRNA from 1 species
AUGCCAUUGCGUUUUACAAAUAAGACAUUUCUUUGUGUUUUUGGUGCAUUGCGUUUUAGGUAAAACACUUUUUUAUGUGUUUUCAGUCCAUUGCGUUUUAGAAAACAGACAUUUUAAGUGUUUUAUGGCCAUUGCGUUUUACAAAUAAGACAUUUCUUUGUGUUUUUGGUGCAUUGCGUUUUAGGUAAAACACAUUUUUAUGUGUUUUUAGUCCAUUGUGUUUUAAGAAGUACAUUUUCUUUUGAGUUUUUAGGCUAUUGAGACAUUUCUUUGUGUUUUCUGGCCAUUGUGUUUUACAAAUAAGUCAUUUCUUUGUGUUUUUGGUGCAUUGAUUUUAGAAAAAUGUCAUUUUUU